UUGGAACAAGGGCAGCCCUUUGAAAACCAACCAACCCCGAAAGCAUUAGGAGAACCAGAAAGAGGAAAACAGCAAGCAGAGCACGUAGAGAGGCAGCGAAGCAUGGAGGUGGAGGGCCAGCUGUGUGCAAACAGGCGCCAUAGAGGACACGAACACUCCUGCCCGAAGGGAACAAUAAAGCUUUCGCCAUUCAACAGCGCCGAAGACGCCAGAAGGCAGCCAUCUUGAGGGCGUAGACGCAGACAGCGCCGGCCAGGAUGUGAGCACGGACCACAGUCACGUGCUGAGGGGAGAUCUCGCGAGAAGAAGGGGGGGGCUGAGUCACGUGCUCCCUCUCCACCAAUGGUAAGGGCCUUAGGGUCAGCUGGAGCAGCUGUCCUGUUCUUGAGCAGCCCCUACCCGGACUUUUACCAAAACUGCUUGGAGAAGUUCUGCUGGAUUCCACCGCCCCUGGCUGCGGUAGCUCUAGGGUUAGGAGUCUCUCUCAGUGAGUGGCAGAGAAAUGGACACCAGCGGUCUCCAAAGAACAAGUUCAACAGCGGAGCGGGGGCGGACCCGAAGCGCACCCAAGACCCUCUCUCAUUGGUGAAGGAUUCUUUGCCGCUAGAUGUGAUAGGUUAACCGACUACGUAUCAGCCAAUCACAGUGUCCUGAAGGCACCUUGGUCCCGCCCCUGCUGGGCUGGAGGCGGUGUUUGUAGCUUUCCUUUUGCACGUGUCUCCUCACUUUCUUUUGGCCUUGCGCUCCUCAGUUCGCUCCUUGCACGAACAAGUUGAAGUCAGCUGCAGGCGGUAUCAGAUGAAGUCACAUCUGCGCUGGUCCAGUGAACGCAGCCACUUUGUGACAUGUAGCCUUUUCUUUGCUACUGCCAGCUAGGCGCGCCGCUAAACAGACUUCUCGGUACAAAGGCGCGCUCCUUCUGCGGUGACAGCUGUCCUGAGAUCGGUCGCUGUCAGGCUGACUCACUGCAUCACCGUUUAAAUCAGAAAUUCGACCUACCGGGCAGAGCUGUCACUCGCAUUGUUACUGUCACCUGAGCCAUCGUUAUCUACUACUGUCCCUGCCCGGUUUGUAACUACUGCCACCGACAUUAAACUUCCAAUAGUUCUGUUCAACAUAG